GCGCAUGCGUUAAAGUCUUUCGUCACGUAUAGCCAUUUUUGCUAAACACAAGUGUUUGCUUUAUAUAAUUUAAAGUAUUUCUUCUCAUUAAUGUCAGAGCCACAGUCCGCUCUCCUAUUAAGAAAACAGCUCGCAGAACUCAACAAAAACCCAGUUGAAGGGUUCUCGGCUGGGCUAAUAGAUGAUAAUGACAUUUAUAGAUGGGAAGUUCUUAUUAUUGGACCACCAGACACCUUGUACGAGGGUGGGUUCUUUAAAGCACAUUUACUAUUCCCUAAAGAAUACCCACUAAGACCACCCAAAAUGAAAUUCAUGACAGAAAUAUGGCAUCCAAAUAUUGAAAAAAAUGGCGACGUAUGCAUAUCAAUAUUACAUGAACCUGGCGAUGACAAGUGGGGCUACGAGAAGGCCUCAGAAAGAUGGCUUCCAGUUCAUACCGUAGAGACAAUCCUAAUCUCAGUAAUAUCAAUGCUGGCUGAUCCCAAUGAUGAAAGUCCUGCCAAUGUGGAUGCCGCUAAAGAAUGGAGAGAGAAUUACAUGGACUUCAAGAGGAAAGUUGCUAGAUGUGUUAGAAAAAGUCAGGAAGAAUGUUUGUAGGAUAUUAUGUAUUUUAAAUUUGAAAGUAAAGGAUGCCAUUAAAAAACCAGGAGAAACCAACCAGAUUAUGGUAUCUGCGAGUGUGCAACGUGUCAGUGAGUGGACACUAUGAGUGAGUGUGAGUGAUAUCAAGACUCAAACUGAAUACUGGUGUUACUUUUGUUUAUUCGUAUGUUGUCUGUUUAUCGUUUUGAUACCAAUCAAUACAUCGUAUUUAGAUAUCAACUUUUUUUCUUCAGACAAUGUAGUUAAUGUUCGAUUGCCCUACAUUUGGUACUUCUCCCAGGUUGGUUGAUUAUGUGACAAAUAAUUUUUAUAUAAUUGUCAUCGUUAUCAAAUGUACAUAUUCACUCACAUUUUUAAACUUUAUUUUCUAAAAUAAGGUUAGUUUGGUGCCGACUCUUAGAUUUGUCGAAUUAGCUUAAUUUUGUGUUUAUUUCAAUUCAGUCUACGCAGUGAGUGUUAAUUGAUGAGAAGGUUUUAGUCUAAUUAUAAUGUCAUGGUUUUUGCACAAGGACAAUUAUUCUGAAUAAUGUGUCAGAUUAUUUUAGGAUCUAUCAUUAAUAUAUUUCAUGAUUCGUUCCUACAGUUGAUAAAACUGAUUCAGAAUAGUUCUUAGACAAUUGGAUACACGAAAAGCUGAGUCUCACAAGUUAUUACAUAACAAAAAGUUAGUGAUUUCCAAAGUAUCAUUUAAAUUGCAUCGGUUAUUUACUGAAUGUAUUGAUUAUAUUGAUUAUAUAUCGAUAAUAUAUUGAUAAUCGAAUUCAGAUUGAGUAUUUUUAGACAUGCAGUUGAUGUAACUAGUUUCUGUUUGGAUCGGGUCUUAUAAUUUUGUCUGUGGAAAGUUGGUAAACAUAAAAUUCAGUUUUAACUUUUUAUUUUUACUGCAAACAAUCAAGAAUCCAGGCAGAAGUAUAAUUUAGUAUUAUUAAUUAUAACUGAACACCUGGCUCUCGUAAAUCGUUAAUUUUUACUAAUAUAAAUUCACAUAACUCCCAGCCUGUUCGUGUAUAUUCCUUAUUUUAGUCACGUGUAAAUAUUUUGGUAAUUAGAUCAAAUUUAUCUUUUCUUUAGAUGUGACACUUGUAUUCAAAAUUUUGUAGGCCGCGGAGACAAUAUUUUGAUAGUUUUUGCAGAGAAAGGGUGUUUUUGUUUGAGUCGCAAGAGCAAUAAAUGUGAGUAAGCCAAACAAUUAAAUGUGCCUUAUACAUGUUCUUUACGCAAAUUUAAUUAUUUUCAAGAUUUAUUCAAAAUUGUAUUGUUUUCUGUCACAUUUUUUUACUGUAUGUGAAAUUGAAAAAGUAAAAAUUAAUGGUGAAAUCAUUUAAAGCAGACAUGAUGAUUGCAUUAUGUAGAGUGAACAAAUAGGAUGUAGUAGGGACUAGAGUCGGCACCAGGGCUCAGAUUGUGUCAGCUAAGUAGCAUCAGUUUUUUGAUCAGAAAAACCAUCAUUCUAAUUAAUUGUUGAUGAUUUUAUAAAAAAAAAAUUGGUGUCAAAGAAAAGGAUUAGUUCAAUUAUGGCUUUUUUUAUGGAUAACCAUUUAAAUACAUGGAUAAUCUUUUAAUUACAUUUAGUUUUGUGACAAUGUGAAAGUCCAACAAAUUUUGUUACAGAAUACUUAGGCUGUAAGAUUUAUUUAUGUGUGUAUUUAUUUAAAGCUUGUACAUUAGGUAUGUUAUAAACGGGUUUAUCGAUUAUGAACGUAAUACAAACGCAUAUGAUUUGAUUCAUUGAUAGUUAUUCAAUUAAAUUCUUUGGGACAGCGACGCACACUCGGGUGCAUAUUUUAAGCUGUGUGGUGAUUAGAGUGAGGUGACUAAGAUCAGCUUUAAAUUGAACAGCCUUGACACCCUUUUCAAUUGUAAGUUGAAGAUCUAUUUACUUAGUUGCUAUAUGAGGUGUGAAAUGUAAUCAUUUUGUGAAGAACAUCUUUUGAACUUAUGACAGUUCAUCUUUAGUAGCGCUCUUCAGCAUUGCUGACAACUAAAUAAGUGGAUCUUCAUCUUAUUAUUUAGGAUCAGCUGUUUCAUUAGUCACGAUCAGCCUAAAUAAAUACAUAUGUGAUCGAUACUGUAAUUUCUCCGUUGUCUUAUCUAUUGUAUAUAUGUUGAUUACAUUAAAAUUUAAGCUUGAACUGUAAACUUUUGUGCAAAAUACAUCAGACAGAUUUUUCUCA